UACUGCAUUUUUUCUUACACAUGUGUUUUUCUUUUUUUGAAAACUUUGCUUUGGUAGGCCUCAAUAUGGGGCCUGCCAGAGAUUAAACUCAACCAAAUUUUAUUUAAUGUCAACCGAUUAUUUAAUAGUCAAAACUUUCAACAACGGAUCUCUUGGUUCUCGCAUCGAUGAAGAACGCAGCGAAAUGCGAUAAGUAAUAUGAAUUGCAGAUAUUCGUGAAUCAUCGAAUCUUUGAACGCACAUUGCGCCCUUUGGUAUUCCAAAGGGCAUGCCUGUUUGAGCGUCAUUUCUCCCUCAAACCCUCGGGUUUGGUGUUGAGCGAUACGCUGGGUUUGCUUGAAAGAAAGGCGGAGUAUAAACUAAUGGAUAGGUUUUUUCCACUCAUUGGUACAAACUCCAAAACUUCUUCCAAAUUCGACCUCAAAUCAGGUAGGACUACCCGCUGAACUUAAGCAUAUCAAUAAGCGGAGG
rnacentral:rRNA from 1 species